rnacentral:rRNA from 1 species
CCUAAGUCCUGCGCUGGAAUGGAUGAUUCCUUCCGCGGUGUACACUUAUGGAAGCCUUUGCAGCCACGCAAGUGGUAGACCCGAAGCGACUGUAAACAAGUUUGGCGUCGUGAUGCAAGUCAGCGGUCUCGCUGGCGACACUUUUUGAAUUGACGGGGACACCCUAAAGCCGGUCGCACCAACCCGUGUGGGGAAACCUCACGGGGGCCUGUGGUAACGACACAGGGGACGGUAACAGACGAUCCGGAUAGUUCUGCCUGGCAGAGAGGAUGGGUAAUCCGCAGCGAAGCCCCUACGUCGCGCCCCCCUCGGGGGGGGCUCGAUACGGGGAACGUUCACAGACUAAGUGGAAGUGGGUGGGGUCCCCCGGGACCCUGCUUAAGAUAUAGUCGGGCCACCUGGGAGACCAGGUGGGAAGUACACCGCUACGAACCGUUCCGUAGGUGAACCUGCGGAAGGAUCAUUA